rnacentral:tRNA from 1 species
GCCGGGAUAGCUCAUUUGGUAGAGCAGGGGACUGAAAAUCCUCGUGUCA